rnacentral:rRNA from 1 species
UACGUAGGGUGCGAGCGUUAAUCGGAAUACUGGGCGUAAAGCGUGCGCAGGCGGUGAUGUAAGACCGAUGUGAAAUCCCCGGGCUUAACCUGGGAACUGCAUUGGUGACUGCAUUGCUGGAGUAUGGCAGAGGGGGGUGGAAUUCCACGUGUAGCGGUGAAAUGCGUAGAGAUGUGGAGGAACACCGAUGGCGAAGGCAGCCCCCUGGGCCAAUACUGACGCUCAUGCACGAAAGCGUGGGGAGC